rnacentral:lncRNA from 1 species
AAAGGGUGGCUAAGGUCAGGGGCAGAAAUAGGAUGCAAACAUUUGAAGACAGCCUUGCCACUGGAGAUAAGAUAGCAUGCAGCUACAUCCUAUGUUUCUGCUUACCCUUGGAGACCAAGUGUUAAGCAGUUCCAAUCUGUAUCUCCUUUUCAGGGACACUUACUACACAUUCAAAACAUUGAAGCAUACAUGGUACACAAAAGUUGAAGAUCACAAUAAGUAAUUAUCCCUUUACCACAUCUGAAACUGACGGAACAACCUGCAGCAAAGUACACAAAAGUCAUAUCCUGCUCUACUGAAUCAUACGGUAAAAUCAGGUAGUUCUGGAUGAGGGUGUGAAAUCAAGCAGAAGUCAUGGAACUGUAGCUGUGCUACUGAAAAGGCCUUUUUCUUUGUAAUGCAAUACUUAGGUCAGCCCUUCCCUAACCUGCUGCAUCCAAAUGAGUCAGAUGAGCCUGAACUGCAUUAAUAGUAAGUCUGCACCUAACAUCUUCAUUAUCCCAC